rnacentral:lncRNA from 1 species
GAUUUGGGUGGAUGGAUAGGAGGGCUUCCGACCUGCGUUAGGCGGGUCAGUUAAUCUUCAGUAACUCCUUGAUGCGUUUGAUAGUCCUCCCAACUUAAGCCUUCCUUACUGCCUCCAGGAGAUACAGUCUUCUGUUCUUUUUGUCAUAGUUGUUUAUUUUUCAUGAAUCGCUGUUUUUGAGCAUAGGGCACUUACCUCUUUCUGUGUCCCCAGCCCUACCACAGUGCCAGGCUCUCAAUAUGCUCGAUAAAUAUUAGGCGAUUGAUUUGUAAAUCGUGUAUCAUUUUCAUGUAUCUAAUACUUUUUUAAAAAUUGAUUAAAGCCCAUAAGCCCAUAUUUUAUUCCAGAUGUCCUUAGUUUUCGACCUGGUAUUCUUUUCCAUUCCAGGAUCCUGUCCGGAGUACAUCACCAUGUCUUCCAGGCUCCUCUGGACCGUGACCGUUUCUCAAACUUUCCUUGUUUUUGAUAACCUUAAUAGUUUUGAAGCGACUUAUUGGUCAUUUGGUCAAAUGUCCUUCAAUUGGGUUUUGCCUGUAUUUUUCUCAUGCAUUAACUGAGGUUAUGGGUUUUUCUUGAGUUAAGAGGUAAGGUAAAGUGAUCUUCUCAUCACAUCACAUCAAGGGUAUAUACUAUCAACAUGACUUAUUACUGUUGAUGCUAACCUUUAUCACCAUUAUUACAGUGUCAUACAGAAAAGUUUUAUAGUUCUACAAAGAUCCCCUUUGUUUCAUCUAGUAAGCCCUUCCACCUCCCUAUGUAGGGUUUGUCAGGUUUCUCCACUGUGAAGUUACUGUUUUUCUUUUCCUCUCCAUACUAUACUAUUUGGAAGGACAUCUCUCUGUGCAGCCCAAACUAUAGGAAUGGGAAAUUGUUAUACUCCACCUUUAUGAGGACAGAAUAUCUUCAUGAAUUAUUUGGAAUUCUUCUGCAUGGGAGAUUUGUCUGUACUGCAUUUAUUUAUGUAUUCAAUCAUUUAUGUCAGUAUGGACUCAUGGAUAUUUAUUUUACAUUUUGGGUUAUAAUCCAAUACUACUUUAUUUUGUUGUUCAUAUUGGUUCCAGCUUUGGCUAUUGAGAUUUCCUUUAGUUGGCAUUUGUGUCUUUUUGACAAACCCUCCUCGUUUUAUGUUUAUUGAUUUUUUUUCUUGAGCAUUUUCUUAAUUUCUAUAAGUUGCUCCAGGCUCAUCUUGUAUAUUCCCUGCCCCAAUCCUAGAAUCAGCUGCUUCCCCAAAAAGCCAAGGGUACUUUUAAUGGAAAAUGAUAUUAGAAAUCAAGAUUUGGACAUUUGGGAUGUUGUUGCUUCUAGACACUCUCAGCUGACAGAGCAAGGAAAUAUUUGUGGAUAUGCUAACCUGACUAAAUACGCAUAUCUGCUCCAUACCUACCUAACAUCUAUCUUCUCAAGAACUCUGCCAGGGAAGGAGUAGUUUCUGUGUUUCAUAAACAGACUGAGACUCAAAGAGGCUAAGUAAACUACCUGAAGCCAUAUAUAGCAACACACAAUGACGGAUGUGAGAUUCAAACUUGGAUUUAUCUGGCUCCAAAAUUUCUAGUUUUUUUUUUUUUUUUUUUCCCACUACAGCAAAACUAAGGAGAAGAGACAGAGAAAACACUAGAUCUGAAUAACAAAGGAUGCAUACUUAAGCAAACUAAGGCAUAUAUAGUUAUCACUAAAUGCUCAACCUGGAAAGAAUACUGGAUUGCAGUCUGCUUUUUCUGUAAAGACAAUAGUAUUAUAAAACCGAAAGAGACAACAGGGAAUAUUUCCCACUCAACUAAGCAUAUCUAAAAGCACAUUUGAAGUUUGGAGACAAUAUUCUGUGUUAUUUUAAGAAAAGAUUCUAUAGCAUUAUUACCUGGUGGUAAGAAAAUAACAUGUAAAAGAAAAGGUAAUAAGAAUAAAAAAAAUAAGUAAAAGUAUGUGAACAUGCUAGACCUG